AAUCAACGCUGGCGGCGUGCCUCAGACAUGCAAGUCGAACGCGAAAGUCCCCUUCGGGGGGACAAGUAGAGUGGCGCACGGGUGAGUAACACGUAGGUAAUCUACCUUCGGAUGGGGAAUAACAACCGGAAACGGUUGCUAAUACCGCAUAAUGCAGCGGCACCUAAUGGUGACAGUUGUUAAAGCGGGGGAUCGAAAGACCUCGCGUCUGAAGAGGAGCCUGCGGCGGAUUAGCUAGUUGGUAAGGUAACGGCUUACCAAGGCGACGAUCCGUAGCCGGCCUGAGAGGGCGGUCGGGCCACACUGACACUGACAUACGGGUCAGACUCCUACGGGAGGCAGCAGUCGGGAAUUUUGGGCAAUGGGCGAAAGCCUGACCCAGCAACGCCGCGUGAAGGAUAGAAAUCCCUCGGGAUGUAAACUUCGCAAGAACGGGAAGAAUAAG
rnacentral:rRNA from 1 species